ensembl:lncRNA
AACAGAGAGUCCUUUAGAUGUGUUUGGACUUGGGUCUCUGAGUAUUUUGUGCAUCUCGUAGUGCUCAAGUUGAGACAGUUUCUUUCUCUGGGAAACAUUUCAGGUUUCUUUCAAGAUCCUAAACUACUUUGACUUCUUCAAGUGGAAAAGUGAUUUGUUUUGUAAAAAGCAGCUUCUUUUUCCCCAGAUGAUGUGAUGUGCUUUAUCAUGUGUAAUGUGAUUAAACUGAAAUCGGUGAUACCAAGAGAGCAGAGGAUAUAAGAGGCUUAUAAAAUAGAUGGUUUAUGAUUCUGUGAGAUACACUGACACAUUUCUGCACGGUACUUGAAAUUACCUAGAUUGUCUUGUGAGUUCAUAAUGCAAAGUCAUUUUACUGGUAGUGUGGUGACAGUGGCUGUUUAUUCCACUUUCCUUAGCAGGGUGGCAGAGCAGAGUACUCCUGUGCAGGCCAACUUUGGGAUAUAGAUGUAUUGGCAGUUUUAAAAUGAUCAGUGUCUGGGAACAGAAACAGUAGAAUCACCGUAGCACUGACUGCACCUCACUAAGUUAUUCCUGUUAUGUCACUUAGCUCUUUGGGGUACUUUUUUAUGAACACGGUUAUCAUGCUUUAUUCUGAGCUAAGUUGGACAGAGCCAUAUGAACAUCAGAGCUCACUUGAAAUAGCUUGGGGAUCUCAAAAAAGGUGCUGUAUGAUAAUCUGUUGGUAGAGUGUUACAUUUCAGUUUUUUCACUUUGACCAAAAAUGUCAGAAGCAAGAGAAAAAAGUCAUGACUUCUGUAAGACUCUAUUUUUAUACUGUCAUUGGGGUGUUAUUUAAGAGUGCCAGUUCUGAGCCAAAGUCAGCUGAAGAAAAAUCAGGCUGAACUUCUAAUUCCAGACCAGCAAGUAGAAAAUCCCAUCCAUGCCCAGCAUGGCAGCAAAGACUUCACUCUGCAGCUGGCCUUUUCCCACAGUAAAGAAGGAUUUUUUCUGCCUCUGGGGCUGGUGAAUUCAGUUAACUGUAUCCCUAGUUCUUGCUUGGGCUGUCUGUUCUUUGUAGGUUUGUUGCAGCCAGAGGGAGACCCUGCUGCCCCUUAAGCUGAAGUGGCAUUCAUGGACUUUUCUCCCUGAGCCAGAAGCAGCAGGUGAAUAUUUGAGUCCUGUUCUGGUAAUGCUACCCAAAACUAAAAGCCUAUGUAUAUUUUAGCUCGUGCCUGCCAUUAGGUACAGAACUGCUUUUUCUUUUCAUACACUUCAACCAUUGCAGGUAUGUCCAGGUGACACUACGUCUGAAAGAGCUUAUGAGAUUGUCUUGGUUCCUGUGAGCAACAAGAAAUUAAAUUUAGAAGUAUUAGAAGUUUACAGUGAAACCUUAAAUUGGAUUGACUCCUGACCCGCUAUAUAUAUAUGUCACUUUCAGUGUGAGCCUGUUCACUUCCAUGCUCCAAAUGCAGGAUACAUUAAUGUGAUUGCAAACAAAGUCUCCUCGUGGAUACUGAAGAAAGCUAACACUCAGACACUUUUCAUCCUACCAUGGUACUGGAAAUGAAAUUCAUCUGACAAUAGGUUGUUUCUAAUUCUAUGAAUGUAUAUGGGGAAAACCCAAAUACAUGUCUUUUAUUCACUAUCCAGCAUGAAGACAAUUUUGUAUUUUAAAUGCUAAAGAAAUAAACUUUGAAAGAUCUUUUAUGGCCUAAGUAUAUAUUUUUUUUGUCCUAUGGUUUAUUUUAUAAUGAACUUCAAGCAAAAUAUUUCUUAUAUUUCAAAAAGGACAUUUAGGUUAGCCAGUGCUGUAUUUUCCAGACAACAAAAGCAAUUUUAAAGUCAACAUCUAAAAAUGAAAUUGUAUUUUUAAAUAUAUGAAUUAGAAUUCCUUUAAGUUAAACAUGUCUCCUUAGCAACUGUAUAUACUUAGACAAAAAGCAAACCCAUUGCAGCUGCUUGUCUCUAUAGUUGUUUGUGUUUGGUGAUUAGUUUAUAUUGCUUUUUCAUAUUGCUCUAAGGGUAUUAAGAGUCCACGUAAAUCAGCAAUGUUAGAAGUCAGAAGUAAAUUUCUUUAGAAGUGAUAGAAUUUGUUUCAUGGAAGAGGACCCAGAAUAAGCAUCAGCUAACCUUGUAUUAUGUACUAAACUAUUUAAAUGUUGCAGCGUUGUGCUGGAAGUAUUUGACAUCUGUUCAAUGGGACCACUUUCUAAACCUUUUUGUAAUCCCCAGCAUCUGUCCAGGUGUGUGAGACAUUUCUAAUUUGAUGACAGAUACCAGUUAAUCUUUUUUUUGAAAAAUAAAAUUGAGUAAUCAGCAAGCUGAGAAAUAACUCAGAAAAAAAUAGUUUUGAUCUCUGUUGUUGAACUUGCAUUGAGGCUGUCAUUUUUAUAUUUUGGGAAAAAAAAAAAAAGAUUGCUAUAGUUUUGAACACAGUUGAAACUUUAAAUGCAAAACUGAAAAAGUUAACACUGAAAUGAUCACAUUUUGGAAUUUUCUUGUACUUCUACUGAAUCCAAGUUAGGCACUGCCAUGAAGAGGAUGCUUUAAGCUGGAAACCUGUGUUGACAGAGCAGGAAGCUUUUUUAUAGGGACUCACUUGUGAGGUAUUACGUGGUUGUUCCAUCGGUGGUACAGCUUCUGUUGCUGACUUCAAGGUUGCUCAAACAGAGCUGGUGUGUUUAAAGAAAAAAGGAUUUUAUUGUAAGAGCCCUUGGAUGUGCAGUGUAAAUCUGUAACAAUAUAUAGUGCUACUGGAUAGUAAUGAUCUAAAUGACUGUUUUCUGCUGUAAAUUUCCCUCAUGUGGCUCCAAUGAUAUGUGUACAUAGACUAUUACCUUUGCACUGAACUGACUAUAUUUCAUAAAAUGAAGAGCAAAAACAAGUAUUGUACUAAAGAUGACCAUACCUUGUGGCUCCUAUUGUGGAAAUACUUUUGCAGAACAAAAGGUAUAGCUUCAGUGUUAUAAAUUUGAUUUUUAUAUUUUUUAUUAACAUGCAUGGAAGACUAAGGAUAAUAUUUUUUAAAAAUUAACUUGGUUUUUGUACAUUUUUUCAAUGUUUAAAACUAUAUGAUUUAACAUUACCUCUGAAUGCCAGUGAUCAGUAAAUUUUUAAAGGAAAUACCUCAAUUCGAGCAUUCUUCUCUUGUUACUUGUCUGAUAGGUUAAAAUGGACUAUAGGGUGUGAUGAAGUGAGCAUAUGAUAUAGGUGCUUAAACUGUGCUAUAGAGGGUGUAUGAUGAUUUACUGAAAGGGACCUAAAUGAUACACUACAAGUGUUGAGUGCAGUUACACAAUCAUGGCUCAUUCUUGCCCAACUGGACAUUUUCCUCAUGGCUUGUAAAUUAAAUUUUCAGCGUGAAGCCAAAUUAAAGAAUAAAACAAAAAA